rnacentral:rRNA from 1 species
GAAUCCCGUCUUUGGCAUGGAUGACCGGGGCUUUUGUGAUGCGCUCUCGAAGAGUCGAGUUGUUUGGGAAUGCAGCUCAAAAUGGGUGGUGAACUCCAUCUAAAGCUAAAUAUUGGCGAGAGACCGAUAGCGAACAAGUACCGUGAGGGAAAGAUGAAAAGCACUUUGGAAAGAGAGUGAAACAGUACGUGAAAUUGUUGAAAGGGAAACGCUUGAAGUCAGUCGCGUCGACCGAGACUCAGCCUUGCCUCGGCUCGGUGUACUUCUCGGCCGACGGGUCAGCAUCAAUUUUGCCCCUCGGAUAAUGGCGAGAGAAAGGUGGCACCCUCACGGGUGUGUUAUAGUCUCCCGUCGGAUGCGAGGGUUGGGAUUGAGGAACUCGGCACGUACCGUGCUUAGGAUGUUGGCGUAAUGGCUUUAAACGACCCGUCUUGAAACACGGACCAAGGAGUCUAACAUGCCCGCGAGUGUUCGGGUGGAAAACCCGUGCGCGCAAUGAAAGUGAAAGUUGGGACCUCUGUCGCGGAGGGCACCGACGCCCGGACCAGAGCUUCUGCGACGGAUCUGCGGUGGAGCGUGUAUGUUAGGACCCGAAAGAUGGUGAACUAUGCCUGAAUAGGGUGAAGCCAGAGGAAACUCUGGUGGAGGCUCGUAGCGAUUCUGACGUGCAAAUCGAUCGUCAAAUUUGGGUAUAGGGGCGAAAGACUAAUCGAACCAUCUAGUAGCUGGUUCCUGCC